UGCCAGCCGCCGCGGUAAUACAGAGGGUGCGAGCGUUAAUCGGACUUACUGGGCGUAAAGGGCGCGUAGGCGGUUAAUUAAGUGAGAUGUGAAAGCCCCGGGCUCAACCUGGGAACUGCAUCCAGAACUGUCUGACUAGAAUACAAUAGAGGUGAGUGGAAUUUCCUGUGUAGCGGUGAAAUGCGUAGAUAUAGGAAGGAACAUCAGUGGCGAAGGCGACUCACUGGAUUGAUAUUGACCCUAAGGUGCGAAAGCGUGGGGAGCAAACAGGAUUAGAUA
rnacentral:rRNA from 1 species